AUCCCUUGUGAAAUGUCCUUUGUGUGAUUUAAGAGACGCCUUCAACUUAGUAAUGUCCAUGUCGGCCUGUUUCUCCAUGAUGGUUGUCUUGAGACACUGAUACUUCGAAUGCGUUUAUGAGGCGUUUAUGAGGGCGUGUUCUUCCGCUUUAGCGGUUUACUCCGAUUGCGCCAUGUAACGUUCCAUAAACUGGCUCUGUACACGUUGACGUUUCUGAUUCAAGUGCAGUUUAUUUCUAGGUCAUUGAUCAAUUAGUUUUGAUGUUACGCUCCGAGCCAUGAGAAUGCAACACUACUGGAUUCAAAUUGCUCUGGAGGCUUGUUGCUAGUUUGCAACUCUUUUUGAACAAAUUCUUCCUAUACUUCGGAAUUUUAGAACGUGUCCUGCCCGGUGGAACACAUUCAGAGAUUGCUAAAGUUGAACAGACGUCCUCAAAAACUAGAAUCAUUUUGUCUAAGGCUACAUCUAUGGACGAUUCCUUUUUCAGCAUUGGAAUGAGAUCAAGCUCCCCUAACUUUUCUAUAAUCAACGGCCAAUGCUCAUCUUUGAACUUGAACUUAGCCAGACCGACCUUUUUGGCCGGUCUUACUCUAGAGCACGCCGGCUUUUGAGUUAUGGUCGACCCUAUCUCGAGAACAUGAUGAUCUGACAGAUUACUAGGUGUCACAUGGACAUACUGGAUUAGAUCAGGGUCAUUGGAAAAAACAAGUCAAGAACGCUAUUCUCUCUAGGAGCUACACCACCAUGCUGAGAGAGAUUGCGGAAGGUCGCAAAUUCCUCCAGCUAAUCGAACGACUGAGAUGUCGAUUUCGAAAUGGGAAUAUACCCUUCUGGACUAGCCUCCCACUCUACAACGCUAGCCGGAAAAUUUAAGUCCCCUACAAAGAAAACCUUUGAGCAAUUUGAUUGUUCCAACUCAUUUCCUAUGAAUUUGAGAGCUGACAAGAACGAGCUUACUGAACAAGAGGGGGGCCUAUAUAUUGUCACAAUGGACAGAUCAAGACCUUGAAGAUGACAAACUAAGACCUCUACUUCUCCAUUAGACAUUUUUACAUGACUAGUGUGCAGGUCAUUUCUAACCUGUAGACAUACGCCCCCAUGCGGAAAAAUGGGAUUGUCAGGGCGUACUCUAUCACAUCGAACUAAAUUAAAACCAACCAUGGCCAGCUCUUCAUCUAAGACCCCUGGUCAAAGCCAAGUUUCUGUCAUGGAAAUGAACGAGACCUGCCUAUUUAAAGCUAGUUCCUCAAGAACCUUGAUCUUUGCGUUGUCUUUUUUGGAAAUAAGACAAUGCACAUUCAAAUAAAGCCCCUUUUAUGGGCAGAGAGCCCUCCGAUGGACUAGAGCUAUCAAAUCUUUGACUAGGCUCUCUAACCUUAAAAAAUCCUGUUUUUGGACAAAACCGACCUUAGGUGGAGGAUAAGAGAACCUUUGAGGAGAGGGUAAAAGAGGAGGAGAAGAGGGAGAAGGAACUCUGGCCGCCACCUGAGCAUUCGAUCUAAAAGAUGCGUGGGGCUCAUGGCGACCAGAGGGGGGCUUAGGGCUACAAAGUUUGGGCAGAAGAGAGGUUAAAGGACACGGUGGUACCGAACAUGAAAUGAAAUGUGAUGAAACGGGACCCAUACCAUCUGAAUCUACAUAUGUAUACAUAUCAUAUAUGACUACAACUUAAGACAGAUAUAACAUAGAUUUGGGCAGGGAGGGGAAAUUUAAUUUUGACGAAAUUAUCAUCAUACCAAUGUCUCCUAAGCAAAUGGAAUAGCAAUAAAUCGAAUGCCAUUGCAGAGGAACAUUUCUCAGACAAAAGAGCCGUGACAUUGAAGUGCCCUAGAAUACUAAGAUAAUUUCUGGCGUUUUUUAAAAGUAUAUCUGGCGGUAAAUGCUAAGGUGAUUGUCUUGAAUCGGUGUUUUGGGGGGGUUCAUCUGGCGGUUUUAGCUUGUCGCGACCUGGCAGCACUUCCAUGGAGUACUCCAUGGAUCAUUCAGCACUCACUCAGCCCAAAACCAAAUCAAAUCAUAACAAACAGCUGACGGACGUCCAGUCUGUCAAUUUUGAGCUGAGAAUUAUUAUAAGGAUUAUCAUCUAGCUGGUGUGCGUUCAUCUAAGUGGAACAGACGAAGGAAGUGUUUUCUCCGGUAACAGGAACUCUUUGGACUUGAACGAUCAGUGUUCCGGCGCAGUUUCCUCCACCCCCGCCAGUGGACAAUUCUCCGGAUUUGCCCGAAUUGAUGGAUGCAGUGGCCGAGGCUGACUGCGAGGCUGCGGCCAAAGCUGUGCUCAACAUCGCAGAGUUGACAGCUAACCCCGAUGCACCACGUCGUCGGGAACGGGCCUUGGAUGCGGCUGCAUGUGCCAGAGCAGCCGCAGUGGCAGCCCGCAAAAUAGCCGAUGCCUCGCCGACAUCUCAAGCCCAACGGCGGGCCAGGAUUGCCGAGAAUUGCGCUAAUGCAGCAGAAUUACAAGCGUCCCUAUUGUAAAUGUGUAACAACUUGUAUGAGAUAUGUAGCUGUAAUUGGACAUAUUAUUGAUCACGAUGACA